AGGCACAAAUUGUAAGUUAAUAAAAUAACUUUUUUUGAUGACAUUUUUGAAAUAAACAUUAAUAUACGCUUAUUCGACUAAAACAUCAAUAUAAAUCAACACAACAAAUUAUUCAAAUUUAUUGGAGUAUCAUCUUGUGAUAUUGUUCAAAUUGUACCAAAGGAUGGAAGCGGGCAAUGUUCCUCAAAGGUGGAAGAUAUUGACUAUUGUACCAGUGAAAAAAGCGAAAAACACUCAAAAGCCUUAAGAGUCUAGACCGAUAAAUAGAAGAAUAUGCUUGCGAAAUACCUUAAGUAAAACAAACCAAUAGUACAAGAAAUGGACAGUGGACAAACUUAAGUAGUUCCUUUAGAAUUAGCACAAGGCUCAAUAUUGGCACCUACAUACAUUUGCAUAUUAUUUCUGAGAUACAUAAAUGAUGUUAUUGAUGCAGUAAAAUAAUAUAAGAUUAAAUUGUUGCAGAUGAUGCCCUCUUAGCAUUAGUGAUACAAAUAUUACAUCAGCUGGUUCAAAAUCACAAAACGAUCAAGAUAAUUUAUAUAAAUGGUGCAUAUGUGCAAUUCAUAUCAUUCAAUUAUAUAAGGUUGUGUCGAUACGGAGCGUGCUUCCUUUUACGAAAGAAGUGUUUGUAUCCAUAAUGUCAAAAAAACUGCUUUUCGUUUUUCUUAUGAAUUUUCUGCUUAAAAUUUGAUGAUUUUAUAUGAUUUACAAUCUAUUUGUAUUCAAAUAUCACUCAAAAACUCAUUUUCAUUGGUUAGAAAUCUUUGAACAAUUUAUUUUGGUAUCGUAAAAUCAAAACAAUACUAUGAAAAAUUGUUGUUUUUGAACUAUCGACACAAUCUUAUGUAUAUAAUUGAGUCUUGUGUGCAAUUACUUUAAAAUCUAAGGUAACAAAAAUUAAAUACAUGAUAAUUAAUCGAAAAAA